GUUUGAUUAGCUCAGUUGGCAGAGCGAUCGACUCAUAAUCGAUGGGUCACAGGUUCGAGUCCUGUAUCAAACUCCA
rnacentral:tRNA from 1 species